rnacentral:rRNA from 1 species
GACGAACGCUGGCGGCGUGCCUAAUACAUGCAAGUUGAGCGAUGAAGAUUGGUGCUUGCACCAAUUUGAAGAGCAGCGAACGGGUGAGUAACGCGUGGGGAAUCUGCCUUUGAGCGGGGGACAACAUUUGGAAACGAAUGCUAAUACCGCAUAAUAACUUUAAACAUAAGUUUUAAGUUUGAAAGAUGCAAUUGCAUCACUCAAAGAUGAUCCCGCGUUGUAUUAGCUAGUUGGUGAGGUAAAGGCUCACCAAGGCGAUGAUACAUAGCCGACCUGAGAGGGUGAAGCGCCAAAUUGGGCCUGAGAACCGGCCAAAACUCCUGCGGGGGGCAGAAGUGGGGAAUCUCGGGCAGUGGACGAAAGUCUGCCCGAGCACCGCCGGGUGAGUGAAGAAGGUUUUGGGAGCGUAAAACUCUGUUGGGAGAAAAGACCGGGGGGGGGGGGGAAAACCUCAUCAAGGGACGGAACCUACCCAGAAAGGGACGGCAAACCACGGC